rnacentral:rRNA from 1 species
UACGUAGGGAGCAAGCGUUAUCCGGAUUUAUUGGGUGUAAAGGGUGCGUAGACGGGAAGGCAAGUUGGUUGUGAAAUCCCUCGGCUUAACUGAGGAACUGCAACCAAAACUAUCUUUCUUGAGUGCUGGAGAGGAAAGUGGAAUUCCUAGUGUAGCGGUGAAAUGCGUAGAUAUCAGGAGGAACACCGGUGGCGAAGGCGGCCUGCUGGACGGAUACUGACGCUGAGGCCCGAAAGCGUGGGGAGCGAACAGG